GUGCUCACUUUAGCUGUACAUAUACUAAAAUUGGAACAAUACAGAGAUUAGCGUGGCCCCUGAGCGUGGAUAAAACUAAUUUUUAAUUUUAAAAAAAUUUUU